ensembl:lncRNA
AGAGAGGUCACUUUAGGGAUAGAAGUCACUUUAGGGAUAGAAGUCACUUUAGGGAUAGAAGGAAGAGAGGUCACCUUAGGGAUAGAAGGAAGAGAGGUCACUUUAGGGAUAGAAGUCACUUUAGGGAUAGAAGUCACUUUAGGGAUAAAAGGAAGAGAGGUCACUUUAGGGAUAGAAGGAAGAGAGGUCACCUUAGGGAUAGAAGGAAGAGGUCACUUUAGGGAUAGAAGGAAGAGAGGUCACUUUAGGGAUAGAAGGAAGAGAGGCCACCUUAGGGAUAGAAGGAAGAGAGGUCACCUUAGGGAUAGAAGGAAGAGAGGUCACUUUAGGGAUAGAAGUCACUUUAGGGAUAGAAGCCACUUUAGGGAUAGAAGGAAGAGAGGUCACCUUAGGGAUAGAAGGAAGAGAGGUCACUUUAGGGAUAGAAGGAAGAGAGAUCACCUUAGGGAUAGAAGGAAGAGAGAUCACUUUAGGGAUAGAAGGAAGAGAGGUCACCAGGGUUAGAAGGGAGAGAGGGAGAGGUCACUAGGGUUAGGGUUAGAAGGAAGAGAAGAGAAGGAGAGAUCACUUAGGGCUACAUGGAAGAGAAGGAGAGGUCACCAGGGUUAGAAGGAAGAGAAGGAGAGGUCACUUGGGUUAGAAGGGAGAGAGGGAGAGGUCACUUGGGUUAGAAGGGAGAGAGGGAG